rnacentral:rRNA from 1 species
GCCAGCAGCUAGUUCUCUGUAAUUUUCACAUGGUCGCCCUCUAAAGCUAAGCAGGGGUGCGCCCGGUCAGUACCUGGAUGGGAGACCACAUGGCUAAAGCUAGGUUGCUGCCGGAA